GCCCAGGUAGCUCAGUCGGUAGAGCAAGGGACUGAAAAUCCCUGUGUCGGCGGUUCAAAUCCGUCCCUGGGCACCA
rnacentral:tRNA from 1 species